GGAAGGCCCUGGGUGAGCUCUGACUUCUCUGAGGCUCUGUUCAUGUGUGCAAGGAACAGGUUGCUGAGGGACAUUUGGCUUGUAUGAAGAACAAGUCUCCAGCAAUGCCAUGCUCAGGUAUGUCCAGGGGUCUAAUACUGAAACUAAAUCAGGAAAAAGGAAGGAUGAACUGCUGCUGUAAGAAAAAGGAAGGACACUUUCCUCUUGUGCAGAAAAAGUGAUGUCCACAAGCAGUAGUACAAGUUCUUGGUAUUUCACCUAAAGCACCU
rnacentral:lncRNA from 1 species